rnacentral:rRNA from 1 species
CCUACGGGAGGCAGCAGUGGGGAAUUUUGGACAAUGGGCGCAAGCCUGAUCCAGCCAUGCCGCGUGUGGGAAGAAGGCCUUCGGGUUGUAAACCACUUUUGUCAGGGAAGAAACGGCCUUUACUAAUAUUAGGGGCUAAUGACGGUACCUGAAGAAUAAGCACCGGCUAACUACGUGCCAGCAGCCGCGGUAAUACGUAGGGUGCAAGCGUUAAUCGGAAUUACUGGGCGUAAAGCGUGCGCAGGCGGCUUUGCAAGACAGAUGUGAAAUCCCCGGGCUCAACCUGGGAACUGCAUUUGUGACUGCAUGGCUAGGGUACGGUAGAGGGGGAUGGAAUUCCGCGUGUAGCAGUGAAAUGCGUAGAUAUGCGGAGGAACACCGAUGGCGAAGGCAAUCCCCUGGACCUGUACUGACGCUCAUGCACGAAAGCGUGGGGAGCAAACAGGAUUAGAUACCCUGGUAGUCCACGCCCUAAACGAUGUCAACUGGUUGUUGGACGGUUUGCUGUUCAGUAACGAAGCUAACGCGUGAAGUUGCCGCCUGGGGAGUCGGCCGCAAGGUUGAAACGUUAAAGAGUAGUCGGCGNGNGAGAGCGACGACGACGACGACGGAGGGAGGAGG